rnacentral:lncRNA from 1 species
UAUAGCACUAUUAUUUAUUGAUCACUACAUUAAUAUCACCAUCCAGUAGGUUCUAUAUCACUAAUAUCACCAUCGAGUAGGUUCUACAUCACUAAUAUCACCAUCCAGUAGGUUCUACAUCACUAAUAUCAUCAUCCAGCAGGUUCUACAUCACUAAUAUCACCAUCCAGUAGGUUCUACAUCCCUAAUAUCACCAUCCAGUAGGUUCUACAUCACUACACUAAUAUCACCAUCCAGCAGGUUCUACAUCACUAAUAUCACCAUCCAGUAGGUUCUACAUCACUAAUAUCACCAUCCAGUAGGUUCUACAUCACUAAUAUCCCCAUCCAGUAGGUUCUACAUCACUAAUAUCACCAUCCAGUAGGUUCUACAUCACUAAUAUCACCAUCCAGUAGGUUCUACAUCACUAAUAUCACCA